GUCCACGCCCUAAACGAUGAUCACUCGAUGUGUGCAAUACACCGUACGCGUCCGAGCGAAAGCAUUAAGUGAUCCACCUGGGGAGUACGGCCGCAAGGCUGAAACUCAAAGGAAUUGACGGGGGCCCGCACAAGCGGAGGAGCAUGUGGUUUAAUUCGAUGAUACGCGCGGAACCUUACCAGGGCUUGAAAGUUAGUGAAUGAUUUAGAAACAGGUCAGUCAGCAAUGACACGAAACUAGGUGCUGCAUGGCCGUCGU
rnacentral:rRNA from 1 species